CCAAUAGCGUAUAUUAAAGUUGUUGCAGUUAAAAAGCUCGUAGUUGAAUUUCGGGGUUCAUCCGUUGGUCGGGCUUUUUGGUCUGUACUGGCGUGAUGGAUUCCUACCUUCUGAAUAACCGGCAUGUCAUUAAUUUGGUGCGCCGGGGAAGCAGGACUGUUACCUUGAAAAAAUUAGAGUGCUUAAAGCAGGCUAUCGCCUGAAUACAUUAGCAUGGAAUAAUGAAAUAGGACGGCAUGGUUCUAUUUUGUUGGUUUCUAGGAUCACCGUAAUGAUUAAUAGGGAUAGUUGGGGGCAUUAGUAUUCAAUUGUCAGAGGUGAAAUUCUUGGAUUUAUUGAAGACUAACUUCUGCGAAAGCAUUUGCCAAGGAUGUUUUCAUUAAUCAAGAACGAAAGUUAGGGGAUCGAAGACGAUCAGAUACCGUCGUAGUCUUAACCAUAAACUAUGCCGACUAGGGAUCGGACGAUGUUAAUUUUUUAAUGACUCGUUCGGCGCCUUACA
rnacentral:rRNA from 1 species